rnacentral:rRNA from 1 species
UACGAAGGGGGCUAGCGUUGCUCGGAAUCACUGGGCGUAAAGGGUGCGUAGGCGGGUUAUUAAGUCAGAGGUGAAAUCCUGGAGCUCAACUCCAGAACUGCCUUUGAUACUGAUGGUCUUGAGUAUGGGAGAGGUGAGUGGAACUGCGAGUGUAGAGGUGAAAUUCGUAGAUAUUCGCAAGAACACCAGUGGCGAAGGCGGCUCACUGGCCCAUAACUGACGCUGAGGCACGAAAGCGUGGGGAGCAAACAGG